AUAAUCAAUUGGCUUAUAAUUGAAGUCUAGUAUGAAUGGGAAUUCGGGGAAUAACUGUCUCACAUAAGAUUAUUAAAAAUUACUUUAUUGGGUGAAAAGUCCCAAAGUAAUAGGAAAGACGAGAAGACCCUAGAAAUUUUAUAAAUAGAUUCUAAUAUAUUAUUUUGUUGGGGCGACAUAGUAACAAAUAACUUACUAUUUUAACAAGAUGCUAAUUAGCUGUUAGAUUAAAUUACUCUAGGGAUAACAGCAUAAUUCAAAUUGAGUUUGUGACCUCGAUGUUGGACUAGGAAGUAAUUUUUUUAGAAGAAAAA
rnacentral:rRNA from 1 species